rnacentral:rRNA from 1 species
GAUGAACGCUGGCUACAGGCUUAACACAUGCAAGUCGAGGGGAAACGACGGGGAAGCUUGCUUCCCCGGGCGUCGACCGGCGCACGGGUGAGUAACGCGUAUCCAACCUGCCUCUGACUGAGGGAUAACCCGUCGAAAGUCGGCCUAAUACCUCAUGGCAUCGUCUGCGGGCAUCCAACGACGAUUAAAGAUUUCAUCGGUCAGAGAUGGGGAUGCGUCUGAUUAGCUUGUUGGCGGGGUAACGGCCCACCAAGGCGACGAUCAGUAGGGGUUCUGAGAGGAAGGUCCCCCACAUUGGAACUGAGACACGGUCCAAACUCCUACGGGAGGCAGCAGUGAGGAAGAUUGGUCAAUGGGCGAGAGCCUGAACCAGCCAAGUAGCGUGCAGGAUGACGGCCCUAUGGGUUGUAAACUGCUUUUAUGCGGGGAUAAAGUGAGGGACGUGUCCUUCAUUGCAGGUACCGCAUGAAUAAGAACCGGCUAAUUCCGUG